rnacentral:rRNA from 1 species
UACGUAGGGUGCAAGCGUUGUCCGGAAUUAUUGGGCGUAAAGGGCUCGUAGGCGGUUUGUCGCGUCGGGAGUGAAAAUCCAGGGCUUAACUCUGGACUGGCUUCCGAUACGGGCAGACUAGAGGUAUGCAGGGGAGAACGGAAUUCCUGGUGUAGCGGUGAAAUGCGCAGAUAUCAGGAGGAACACCGGUGGCGAAGGCGGUUCUCUGGGCAUUACCUGACGCUGAGGAGCGAAAGCGUGGGGAGCAAACAGG